rnacentral:piRNA from 1 species
UCCUCAAUCGGCCUGAGUGUCCCAGGAAAC